rnacentral:misc_RNA from 1 species
GAUGAAGAACGUAGCGAAAUGCGAUAAGUAGUGUGAAUUGCAGAAUUCAGUGAAUCAUCGAAUCUUUGAACGCACAUUGCGCCCCUUGGUAUCCCGAGGGGCAUGCCUGUUCGAGCGUCAUUUCACCACUCAAGCCUGGCUUGGUGUUGGGCGACGUCCCCUUUGGGGACGCGCCUCGAAACGCUCGGCGGCGUGGCACCGGCUUUAAGCGUAGCAGAAUCUUUCGCUUUGGAAGUCGGGGCCCCGUCUGCCGGAAGACCUACUCGCAAGGUUGACCUCGGAUCAGGCAAGGAUACCCGCUGAACUUAAGCAUAUCAAUAAGCGGAGGA